rnacentral:rRNA from 1 species
AUUGAACGCUGGCGGCAGGCCUAACACAUGCAAGUCGAGCGGUAGAGAGGUGCUUGCAUCUCUUGAGAGCGGCGGACGGGUGAGUAAUGCCUAGGAAUCUGCCUAGUGGUGGGGGAUAACGUUCGGAAACGGACGCUAAUACCGCAUACGUCCUACGGGAGAAAGCGGGGGAUCUUCGGACCUCGCGCCAUUAGAUGAGCCUAGGUCGGAUUAGCUAGUUGGUGAGGUAAUGGCUCACCAAGGCGACGAUCCGUAACUGGUCUGAGAGGAUGAUCAGUCACACUGGAACUGAGACACGGUCCAGACUCCUACGGGAGGCAGCAGUGGGGAAUAUUGGACAAUGGGCGAAAGCCUGAUUCAGCCAUGCCGCGUGUGUGAAGAAGGUCUUCGGAUUGUAAAGCACUUUAAGUUGGGAGGAAGGGUCGUAACCUAAUACGUUACGGCUUUGACGUUACCGACAGAAUAAGCACCGGCUAACUUCGUGCCAGCAGCCGCCGUAAUAC